GCGGGCGUAGUUCAGCGGUAGAACGUCAGCUUCCCAAGCUGAAUGUCGGGAGUUCGAUCCUCCUCGCCCGCU
rnacentral:tRNA from 5 species